rnacentral:rRNA from 1 species
CCUACGGGAGGCAGCAGUGGGGCAUAUUGGGCAAUGGGCGCAAGCCUGACCCAGCAACGCCGCGUGAAGGAAGAAGGCUUUCGGGUUGUUAAAUUCUUUUCUCAGGGACGAAGCUAGUGACGGUACCUGAGGAAUAAGCCAAGGCUAACUACGUGCCAGCAGCCGCGGGAAUACGUAGGUGGCGAGCGUUAUCCGGAUUUACUGGGUGUAAAGGGCGUGUAGGCGGGGACGCAAGUCAGAUGUGAAAACCACGGGCUCAACCUGUGGCCUGCAUUUGAAACUGUGUUUCUUGAGUACUGGAGAGGCAUACGGAAUUCCUAGUGUAGCGGUGAAAUGCGUAGAUAUUAGGAGGAACACCAGUGGCGAAGGCGGGCUGCUGGACAGCAACUGACGCUGAGGCGCGAAAGCGUGGGGAGCAAACAGGAUUAGAUACCCUGGUAGUC